AGGCACCCCAUAGGCGGACCCACAUUGGCCCUGAAGCCAUUUGAGUCAAGCGUGAAUCAAAGGGAAUACUGCAUAGGGGGCGAAUUUUAGAUUGGAUAUUUAAAAUAAUCCAGGCUAUAGUUUAAGUUUAAGGGUGGACCAGCAACGCUUUUAUCUCUGUUCAUAAAAGAAAAAAGGAUAAAAAAGAAGUGAAGCGAAACAAUUUAGGGCAAAAGGAGACUUCACGUGAGAGCGAUAGGAGAGAGAAAACAGCUCCGUCUGUGGAUCACCCUGCUUUAAUGGAGAAAAUCUGCAUGGAGUCUUUUCACCGUGUUAAAAAUGGGACUGCAUGAGUCUGCACUGUGUAGCGUAUCCCUGCUGGCACAAGGCGUACUUUGAAGAGUGUGCUUCUCCCAACUCGGUAGCUGAUCAGAACCAGCUGAAUCUGGUGUGAAACAUUGAGUUGGUGUUGGAGGACUUCUGACUUCCUGCAGAGCGUCCUGCGGGAUGUGUUGUUAUUAAGGCCCAGAUCUCAUUAUGAUGACCACAUCUUCUAUCGUCUUCCACAUCUAGCAGGGCGUCAACAUUAACACAAAGCCAACAUCCGCCCCCCUGUACUAGUGCUGAUGUGGCACUUGUUAAUGGUGCCAGUAUGUCUCAGUCCUGACUAAGGAAGAUAUGGUCUCACAUUAACCAGCAAUGGGGAAGAAAAACAAACAUUCUGGUGGCUGAUCAUCUGUUGAAUUGGUGGGAAUCUGCAACUCAAAUCAUUACGACCGCUGACCUAACAACAAUGCAUUAGAAGGAACUGCAGAAGCCUGUUUUGGUAAAUGGUGUUUGAUGGCUUUAAUAAACAUUUUCCAUUACGCCCAGGAACCAAGAAGAAAGGAAAGAGCUCACUGGGAAUACAUGUAAGACUGUGGGAGCCAUCAGUGCUGAAAACAAAAUAAAACGAUUUUAUUGUGCCUCCAUAACAUUCACAAACUCUCUUCCCUUUAAGUGUGUCUGAGUAGCUCCAAGCUGUAUGCCAGACAUAGGGCUGGUGAGGGCCCAUGUUUUAUUAAUUUGCAGAUGAGCUCAGCUUUUGAUGGCGUUGGCCGCCCAUGGGUUCAAUUAGGAUAAUACUGGGAGAGGGGCAGAUUAUGGGCUACAAUUUAAGUGAGGGUACUGUAUAUCUCUUCCUGACAGUUAUAGUCCAAAUGCAACAAAUUGCACCUUAGUGGCUGUGAGUGGCUUCAUAUCAUUCCACUGGUGAUGAAACAUGGCAAUGUGGCGGCUCAGCUGCUGUGGAGACAACACCUGGCAGCAAGAGCCAUGUCCACUCUGAACUAACAACACACUCCUGCAGUUCAACCUUUUUCCAUUCAGUAAAGACCAUUUAGAAAACAUUGGUCUAUACAAUGGAGCUCUGAGUUUCUACUCGACCCAGUGAAGCCUAAACAUUCCCAGUUAGCACAACUCUUUCUAAGCUAUGCCCUUUUUCGG